UACGUAGGUGGCGAGCGUUGUCCGGAAUUACUGGGUGUAAAGGGAGCGUAGGCGGGAGUGCAAGUUGAAUGUUAAAUCUAUCGGCUCAACCGAUAGCCGCGUUCAAAACUGCAUUUCUUGAGUGAAGUAGAGGUUGACGGAAUUCCUAGUGUAGCGGUGAAAUGCGUAGAUAUUAGGAGGAACACCAGUGGCGAAGGCGGCCAACUGGGCUUUACUGACGCUGAGGCUCGAAAGCGUGGGGAGCAAACAGGAUUAGAUACCCUGGUAGUCCCU
rnacentral:rRNA from 1 species